CAUGGGUUCAACACUUGCAGGUCACUGGCUGCUGGACCAUCCUGGGCCCACCCACUUACAUUCAACUGACCAGUAAUGUAAUAGAUUAUUUACUAGUGGACCCACCCCACUCCUCCUGCUGUGGGUUAGGUGUAUGGCUUCAGGAGUCAACUGACAUUUGACUGUCCCAUUGCUGUGCUUCUAUUGUCUUUGGCCUGUGGCUGUGCCUCUCUAAACAGUCACUAGCUGUAGCGGAGCCACCUAAAAACCAACACACCUGACCCAGGCAGAGAGUGAGGCUGAGUGAGUGUCUUCAGACAGCCCCAAUCAGCAGCAACAAUAACCUCUGCUCACAUCAAAAUUGAGUCAUGGAUGGAGGGGACCUGGCUAUGGUACCUGUAGCGAGAACCAGCAGGUUUUUAUACAGUGAAACAAAGAACAUGCCUGGGAUAUCCACUAAACUGAGAAAUCAGGAAAGCCAGCCCAUCAAACACAUUGAAGUCGCAAAGAAAAAUAAAGUCUCAUAAUUUACUUUUAGGCUCAAGACCUCCCUCAUUCUAAAGCCAGCUAUGCAUAGGUCAAGACUGCUGACACCAUGCUUCCAGAGUUUUAAACAACCUUAUGGAUAACUGUUCACACAGAAAGACCAUAGACUUGCUAACACCAUUCCAGCAUCAGUACAGUUCAUAAUAUGGACUUAAGACUAAUGAGGUCUGGAUAGAUUCUUCAAACAACAACAACAUUUUUCUUGGCUCUCCAGUGCAAGGGGCGAUUUGAAUAUAAAAUAAUUCUUUAAUGAGAACUCUGUCUACGUCUCCAUGUAUUUUGUUCAGGUGAUUGCUGCUUUGGCCAUUGGACAUACGUAUUUCAGAACACUUAGGGGGUUAUUUACUAAAAUCCCAAUGCAUCUCAUAUCUUAUUAAAAAAAAAACCACGGGCAAACUCCCAUACCUGAUUUUAGCUUAUUGAUAAAAAAACGACUUAAUCAGAUCACCGAAAAACUUGAUAAAAUCGAGUGAAAACACGACUUUUUUCCCGAAUUGUUCAAAUUUGCCCAAAAACCCAGAAAAAGUGAGAUUUCGGGCUAAGCCCAGCGCAGACCAUGAUAACCUCAAAUUGAGAUAGGUGCCGCUACCAUUAAGUUCAGAUUGACUUUCGGAUUCAGGCUUUUUGCAGCAUCAGGAUAUAAUAAAUCUUGAAAAAGUUUUUUUUUCCCCUCUAAAAAUUUUUUCUAGUGAAAAAAACUAAAAUUUUUCGAGAUUUUAACAUUCAGAUUUUAAUAAAUAACCCUUCUAUUGUAAUUUUGGCAAGCAAAAAUUGCAUGGCAAUCCAACAAUAAAGAGACCACAUCAUUGGUGAAUUUGUUUGAAUUUAAAGGGGUGGUUCAGCUUUAAGUUAACUUUUAUUACGUAGUAGUUCUGACCUUUCAACUUUCGAUCAAAGGUCACUGACCCCAUCUAAAAAUCUUUCUUUCUAUUCAGGCCAUUUCAUUCAUAUCCGUCUCUUAUUUAAAUCAAUGGAUGGUUUCUAGG